GAAAAGCAGCUUUUUAUCCUGAAAGAUCAGAAUCAGCUCCAACAUCUGCAUCUGACAGCAUCAAGUCAACCAGAAAGAAAAGAAAAAAGAAAAUGACUUCUUUCUGAUCACAUCUGUUCCACUGCUCACAGGCUGCUGCUGCUCACAUUCUUCACAUUUAUAAUCUACUUUUAAAAGUUCAGCAGACAGGUGCUCUGUUUUGGAGUGUGACGAUGUCGUCGGUGAUGUGGAGAGUGAAGUUUCCGUUUCACCCACAGCGUGCUUUAGGACACCCGGGUCGGACCUGAUGUUUGAAAUACUGAACGACAGCUCAGAUUUAACUGUCUGUAGUUUUGUUUUGAUGGAUGUUAAAUUUUCACUCAAAGCCGCCAGGAGCUGGGUCUUUAAAAUAACCGCCGUCUCGUUACAGAGUGAAAGUAGCAGUUCCUCCUUAAGGUCAGAGAUUGCAGCAUCUGAGGGCCUCUCCAAAAGAAGACGUAGUUGAUGAAGGCGUUCUGGAGCAGGACCAGAAAGACCACGACCAAGCAGCCUUGAGAUCUUAGGCAGCAUCUCCCUCAGGUCCCUCUCUAUCUCCCCACACAUCCACCAACCACUGGAACACAUCUCCAAAGUUCUGCCGGGCCAGCUCAGCUUCCCCUCAGAAGAAGUGCCGCCACCUGCCAGAUGAAGGAGCCUUUUGAGAGGCAGCUGGCAUCGUGAUUGGACUGUACUUUGGUCUGUUCCAAUCCAGCUUCAGCUCCAGAGACGGCAGGCGGGACGAGUCAACGGAGGCCGGGUGGACGAAGGCAUGCAGCUGAGUACAAUCCAGAAAACAACAGAGGAGGAGUGCAGCAGCCCAGGGCCAGAACAAACAGAGUAGCAUCGUAUGUCUCUUAGAAAACAUCAUAGUAUAGCCUUUGGUAUGAAAAAACGCCAUCAUAUACAUCGUAUAUUGUACAAAUAACAAGUCAGAGGAAAGAGACAUACAUUGUAGAAUUGUAGUAAUUGUGGGCUGACUGAUUUACUGAUUAUCAGUAUUUUAUUUUUUACUGAUUUACGGUAAUAAAUACAUUUAAAAAUGGU